rnacentral:rRNA from 1 species
GAGUUUGAUCCUGGCUCAGGAUGAACGCUGGCGGCACGCUUAACACAUGCAAGUCGAGCGGAGGAAAGACAGGAAGGCUUCGGCCGGAAAGUCAUUCUUCAGCGGCGGACGGGUGAGGAACGCGUGGGUAACCUGCCCUGUACAGGGGGAUAACACAGAGAAAUCUGUGCUAAAACCGCAUAAGCCUACAGGAUCGCAUGAUCCAGAAGGAAAAACUCCGGUGGUACAGGAUGGGCCCGCGUCUGAUUAGCUAGUUGGAGAGGUAACGGCUCACCAAGGCGACGAUCAGUAGCCGGUCUGAGAGGAUGGACGGCCACAUUGGGACUGAGACACGGCCCAAACUCCUACGGGAGGCAGCAGUGGGGAAUAUUGCACAAUGGGGGAAACCCUGAUGCAGCGAUGCCGCGUGAAGGAAGAAGAUUUUCGGAUUGUAAACUUCUAUCAGCAAGGAAGAAAACGGACAGUACUUGAGUAAGAAGCCCCGGCUAACUACGUGCCAGCCGCCGCGGUAAUUC